rnacentral:rRNA from 1 species
UACGUAGGGGGCUAGCGUUGUCCGGAAUCAUUGGGCGUAAAGAGCGCGUAGGCGGCCAGAUAAGUCCGGUGUGAAAGUCACAGGCUCAACCUGUGAAUGCCGCUGGAAACUGUCUGGCUAGAGUCCGGAAGGGGCGAGUGGAAUUCCUGGUGUAGCGGUGAAAUGCGCAGAUAUCAGGAGGAACACCAGUGGCGAAGGCGACUUCCUGGCCUGUUCUUGACGCUGAGGCGCGAAAGCUAGGGGAGCAAACGGG